GCCCCCGUAGCUCAGCGGAUAGAGUACCGGCCUCCGAAGCCGGGGGCGUGAGUUCGAGUCUCACCGGGGGCACCA
rnacentral:tRNA from 2 species